rnacentral:rRNA from 1 species
CGACUGCUAUCAGAAUAGGACUAAGCCAUGCGAGUCAACGUAGCAAUACGUGGCAUACGGCUCAGUAACACGUAGUCAACAUGCCCAGGGGACGUGGAUAACCUCGGGAAACUGAGGAUAAACCGCGAUAGGUCAUAAUAUCUGGAAUGAUUUCUGGCUGAAAUCUAUAUGGCCCCUGGAUUGGACUGCGGCCGAUCAGGCUGUUGGUGAGGUAAUGGCCCACCAAACCUAAAACCGGUACGGGCUCUGAGAGGAGGAGCCCGGAGAUGGGCACUGAGACAAGGGCCCAGGCCCUAUGGGGCGCAGCAGGCGCGAAAACUCUGCAAUAAGCGAAAGCUUGACAGGGUUAUUCUGAGUGAUUUCCGCUAAGGAAAUCUUUUGGCACCUCUAAAAAUGGUGCAGAAUAAGGGGUGGGCAAGCCUGGUGUCAGCCGCCGCGGUAAUACCAGCACCCCGAGUGGUCGGGACGAUUAUUGGGCCUAAAGCAUCCGUAGCCGGUUCUACAAGUCUUCCGUUAAAUCCACCUGCUUAACAGAUGGGCUGCGGAGGAUACUAUGGAGCUAGGAGGCGGGAGAGGCAAGCGGUACUUAGUGGGUAGGGGUAAAAUCCGUUGAUCCAUUGAAGACCACCAGUGGCGAAAGCGGCUUGCCAGAACGCACUCGACGGUGAGGGAUGAAAGCUGGGGGAGCAAACCGGAUUAGAUACCCGGGUAGUCCCAGCUGUAAACGAUGCAGACUCG